rnacentral:rRNA from 1 species
UACGGAGGGUGCAAGCGUUGUCCGGAUUUAUUGGGUUUAAAGGGCGCGUAGGCGGCUAAUUAAGUCAGUGGUGAAAUCCUGGAGCUCAACUUCAGAACUGCCAUUGAUACUGGUUGACUUGAGUACAGACGAGGUUGGCGGAAUUGAUGGUGUAGCGGUGAAAUGCAUAGAUACCAUCAAGAACACCGAUUGCGAAGGCAGCUAACUAGGCUGUAACUGACGCUGAGGCACGAAAGUGUGGGGAUCAAACAGG